AUAAUCAUUUGUCUCUUAAUUAGAGGCUUGUAUGAAUGGCUGAAUGAGAUAAAAACUGUCUUGUUUUAAUUGCAAAUUGAAUUUUAAUUUUUAGUAAAAAUGCUAAAAUAUUCAUAAAAGACGAGAAGACCCUAUAAAUCUUUAUUUUAAUAAAUUUAUAUAUUUAUUUAUAAAAAUUAAAAUUUUAUUUUAAUUAAAAUUUUAUUGGGGUGAUAAUGAAAUUUAUUUAACUUUCAUAUUUUUAUUAUAUAUAUUUAUAAGUUUAAUGAUCCAGUUUUAUUGAUUAUAAGUUUAAGUUACUUUAGGGAUAACAGCGUAAUAUUUUUAGAGAGUUCAUAUUAAUAAAAAUGAUU
rnacentral:rRNA from 1 species